AGCAGCAGCCGCGGUAACACGGAGGGGGCUAGCGUUGUUCGGAAUUACUGGGCGUAAAGCGCACGUAGGCGGCCUUACAAGUCAGAGGUGAAAGCCUGGUGCUCAACACCAGAAUUGCCUUUGAGACUGUAUCGCUUGAACGUCGGAGAGGUGAGUGGAAUUCCGAGUGUAGAGGUGGAAUUCGUAGAUAUUCGGAAGAACACCAGUGGCGAAGGCGGCUCACUGGACGACUGUUGACGCUGAGGUGCGAAAGCGUGGGGAGCAAACAGGAUUAGAUACCCCGGUAGUUCCUGUCUCUUAUAU
rnacentral:rRNA from 1 species